rnacentral:tRNA from 1 species
CGACGUGGCUCAACGGCAGAGCAGCUGAUUUGUAAUCAGCAGGUUGCCGGUUCGAAUCCGGCCGUCG